GAAACGCGUAGCCGAUGCACAUACGGUAGAAAUUCCGUAGCCCCUGAAAGAUUUAAGCACAAGGACACUUGAGAAGCGUUUAUCCGGGAGUUGGUAUUCCCGGUCGUAAGGGACCCCGAAUGGGGGAAGUAAAUGUGGAUUGAGGCAAGAAAAGUUGUGUGAAUAUCUGAAGAGCCCGUACCGCAAACCGACACAGGUAGAUAGGAAGAGAAUUCUAAGGCCGACGGGAGAAGGGUUGUUAAGGAACUCGGCAAGUUGACUCCGUAACUUAGGGAGAAGGAGUGCUCGAAAGAGCCGCAGAGAAUAGGCCCAAGCGACUGUUUAGCAAAAACACAGCUCUAUGCUAAAUCGAAAGAUGACGUAUAUGGGGUGACACCUGCCCGGUGCUGGAAGGUUAAGAGGAGAAGUGAGAGCUUUGAAUCGAAGCCCCAGUAAACGGCGGCCGUAACUAUAACGGUCCUAAGGUAGCGAAAUUCCUUGUCAGGUAAGUUCUGACCCGCACGAAUGGUGUAACGAUUUGGGCACUGUCUCAACAACCCGCCCGGCGAAAUUGUAGUACCGGUGAAGAUGCCGGUUACCCGCGACUAGACGGGAAGACCCCAUGGAGCUUCACUGUAGCUUAAUAUUGGAUUUUGGUAUUUCAUGUACAGGAUAGGUGGGAGACUGAGAAGCAAAGGCGUCAGCUUUUGUGGAGUCGCUGUUGGGAUACCACUCUUGAAGUGCUGAAAUUCUAACCUGCGCCCUUGAAUCAGGGCGGGGGACAUUGUUAGGUGGGCAGUUUGACUGGGGCGGUCGCCUCCAAAAAGGUAACGGAGGCGCUCAAAGGUUCGCUCAGCAUGGAUGGAAACCAUGCCAGAGAGUGUAAACGCAAAAGCGAGCCUAACUGCGAGACUGACGGGUCGAGCAGUAACGAAAGUUGGAGUUAGUGAUCCGGCGGUAUGAGAGUGGAAAUGCCGUCGCUCAACGGAUAAAAGCUACCCUGGGGAUAACAGGCUGAUCUCCCCCAAGAGUCCACAUCGACGGGGAGGUUUGGCACCUCGAUGUCGGCUCAUCGCAUCCUGGGGCUGAAUUCGGUCCCAAGGGUUUGGCUGUUCGCCAAUUAAAGCGGUACGCGAGCUGGGUUCAGAACGUCGUGAGACAGUUCGGUCCCUAUCUGUCGUGGGCGAAGGAUAUUUGAAAGGAGCUGACCCUAGUACGAGAGGACCGGGAUGGACGCACCUCUGGUGCACCAGUUGUCACGCCAGUGGCACAGCUGGGCAGCUAAGUGCGGAACGGAUAAACGCUGAAGGCAUCUAAGCGUGAAGCCGGCCUUAAGAUAAGAUAUCCCAUUACGUAAGUAAGUAAGACCCCUCAAAGACUAUGAGGUUGAUAGGUCUGAGGUGUAAGCAUGGCGACAUGUUAAGCCAGCGGAUACU
rnacentral:rRNA from 1 species